CAAGCUGCGUCAGGGGAGGUUUAGGUUGGAUGUGAGGGAAAAUGCCUUCCCUGCCAGAGGGGUCAGGCCCUGGCACAGGCUGCCCAGAGAGGUGGGGAGUCACCAUCCCUGGGGACAUUUAAAAGAUGUGUAGAGGUGUCACUUCAGAUCAUGGUUUAGGAGACAUGGUAGUGCUGGGUUGGUGGUUGGACUUUGAUGAUCCUAGAGGUCUUUUCCAACCUUCAUGAUUCUAUGAUUCUGUAGUUAUCCCUGGAAGUCUCCUUGAAGGUACUAGCAAAGCUUGUUCAGUGAGAUUGAAGAGAAGCAGUGCGGCAGUGACGGAACAGGUGCUGUGUUGCCCCCUGCUCCUCUGUAGUGUCCCAAAGUCACACAGACAGUUUAACUGACACAUUUGCCCGUGUGAUGUUACGUUAGAUGAUGCUCUCGUGUUGCAAUGGCUGCUGCACGAGUGCUUUGACUGAGGUUCCCGACAACCCCGUGUGCGUGUUAAAUGACAUCAAAAGUCUUUAGGAAUAAAUUAGUUUACUAAUUGUGGAACUUGGGGUAAAGACUAAAGGAUGUAAGAAAGGAUAUGAAGACUAGGGAUGGCUUUUACCACCUCCCAAAGCCACCUGUGCUAUCUACAGAUGUCCUACAAGCCCUUACACUUUCAUGACCACUUACUCUACCACCACCACCACUUAAAAACCAUUUGUGGGGGCAACAUAGGAUCCUUCUUGCUGAGGAGCCACGCUGUGAGCCUGCAAGCAUGCUGUAUGGAAUCCAGGCUAGAGCCUGUUACAGCCCUGCCUUUAGUGAAAGAUAGCGAGCAAUGCUGAUUUACCUUUAAAAAUGGAGAUUCCCAGUGAAAGCAAGGGAUGGGGACAGCUCAGCACAUCUGCCACUGGUUUCAGGUGUCUCGUGGCAUCUUGCAGCGAGGGGUGACUGCUGAGUCCCUGGACAUCUGUGACAGUCUACAGUCAGAGCUGGGACUGCACAAACCACUGUUAGAGCUUGAAAAUCCAGCUUCUGUCACCUCUUCAGCCAGAAAAUGUCUGAGGAUCUGGGGAAAAGACUGUCUUUCCUUGCUCCUGCAAGAACCUCUGGAAGGUCUACUCAGCAAGACAACACCUCUGGCAAGGCCAGCAAGCCUCAGUGGGAUCUUCUAGCGGGUAGAUUCUGUCAACCAAGAGACUUCAGCAUCUACCGUCAACAGGACAUGGUGUUUGAGGGGAAGAACUUACCACCAGCACCUUGCUUUUUUGUCAUCUCCCAGAGCAGAACGUCAAGCUUUGUGGCUGUUCCCUAGUGAAGCAACGUGGCACUUGCUAACUUGGUGAAGGGAAGAUGUUUAUGAGCUACUGGGAAGGAGGAGUCAUGGGUUCAGGUCAUGAAGGAAGCAGGAGAUGGGUAGGAGAUACAUGAGAGAGCCGGUCAGGGGCAUGGGUUGGUUGGUAGUGUGAUGCUCCAAGCCUGUGUACUAGAUAAGCCUAGAGCUAAGCCCAGAUGGGGUCCUGGACUUCUCCAUGCCCAUCUGCCGGCGUGCAGUGAUGGCAGGCUGAGUGACAGGCUGGAGGGCUUGUGCUGCUGACAGGAGAAGUCCCUCAUGGAAAGCACGAGGCUGACAGUGCUGGGGAGGUUGUACCUACAUCCCUCCCUGCGGGUCUGCCAUUGUGCUGGCAGCCAACUAAAGGCACACUUGACCUCCCUCCUAAACUGGAGGAGUCGCUGAAGGUGAAUCAUCUGUUUUAUUAAAUCAGAGGCUGCUUCAAGGACUGCAGCCCGAUUAUGCCACAUGUACGUACCCUGAAAAGAGUAUUUGUGGAGAAAUGGGUUCCAUAUGGGCAGAUCCUUACUGCUGAGCAUGCCCCGCUGAAGAACAGCCUGCAGAGAUCAGGCUUAGUAGGAUUCAGGCCUUAACUCUUAAUCUAAAGUGUUGAACAGCUCUCAGGAAGAGGGAGGGAUGUGUAGGAGGUACAGCAUAAAGCGGAUGGCGCUGUGACAUGCCUUUCCCCCCCAGGGAGUGAAGCUUGCUGCCUUCGCCUUGGUGUGGGGCUCUGUGCUCCAGGAAUGAGCAGGAAUAUCACGGUCUGGCCCAAAUUCAUCCCUGGAGAAACGAGACAGAUGAUAUCAUUGUUGGAGUUGUUUGGAUAUCAUAAAGGCAGGACAAUGCAGCUGAAACCUGGAUGCAGUUGCCCACCUGAGAGUGCACCAUUGCCCAGGGAAACUCUUCAAGGGGAAAAAAAAAAAAAGACGCUGAAAAUGCUGAUGCAGCCAUUUUCUGCACUAUUUGCUUCUCCAAGGAAUCCGUAAGGCAGACUUCGCCCUGUGCUCUGCCCGUGCUCCAGGCAGCCUAGGAACCAGGAACUUCCAUUUGAAACCAGCACCAAUGCACCAUCCUGCAGAUGAGGAGAUGGCUCCGGGAUUCCUGGUUGGACACAGGUGGACUCACUUUCUUUUGUAUGCAAAAGACCAUGUAUAUGUAAUCAUGGAUAUUCAUAUGGAAUAGAAUCAUUAAGGUUGGAAAACACCUCUAGGAUCAUCAAAGUCCAACCAUCAUCCCAACACUACAAUGUCUCCUAAACCAUGCCCUGAAGUGACACCUCUACACGGUGUUUGGACAGCCCCACCUCUCUGAGCAGCC